rnacentral:snoRNA from 1 species
AAGCCCUCGGCCCACUCUGAGCUAUACCAAUUCUCUCCCAUGGUAUAUUUCUAUUUUUGUUCGAGGAAGAUUGACUGGACGAUUACUCACCGAUGCUUCCUUUACACCGUGGAAGUAUUGGUCCAUAUUUACAGCCCUACAC